UACGAAGGGGGCUAGCGUUGUUCGGAAUUACUGGGCGUAAAGCGCACGUAGGCGGAUAUUUAAGUCGGGGGUGAAAUCCCGGGGCUCAACCCCGGAACUGCCUUCGAUACUGGGUAUCUUGAGUUCGGAAGAGGUGAGUGGAAUUGCGAGUGUAGAGGUGAAAUUCGUAGAUAUUCGCAGGAACACCAGUGGCGAAGGCGGCUCACUGGUCCGAUACUGACGCUGAGGCGCGAAAGCGUGGGGAGCGAACAGG
rnacentral:rRNA from 1 species